GAUGAAGAACGUAGCGAAAUGCGAUAAGUAAUGUGAAUUGCAGAAUUCAGUGAAUCAUCGAAUCUUUGAACGCACAUUGCGCCCGCCAGCACUCUGGCGGGCAUGCCUGUUCGAGCGUCAUUACAACCCUCAGGCCCCCGGGCCUGGCGUUGGGGAUCGGCGGAGCCCCCCGUGGGCACACGCCGUCCCCCAAAUGCAGUGGCGGUCCCGCCGCAGCUUCCAUCGCGUAGUAGCUAACACCUCGCGACUGGAGAGCGGCGCGGCCACGCCGUAAAACACCCAACUCUUCUGAAGUUGACCUCGAAUCAGGUAGGAAUACCCGCUGAACUUAAGCAUAUCAAUAAGCGGAGGA
rnacentral:misc_RNA from 1 species